rnacentral:tRNA from 1 species
CCUGGUGGAUCAGAUGGUAAAGAAUCUGCCUGCAAUGUAGGAGACCUGGGUUCGAUCCUUGCAUUGGGA